rnacentral:rRNA from 1 species
CACCGGCAGCUCUAGUGGUAACAAUUUUUAUUGGGCCCUAAAGCGUCCGUAGCCGGUUUAAUAAGCCUCUGGUGAAAUCCUGCAGCUUAACUGUGGGAAUUGCUGGAGAUACUAUUAGACUUGAGACCGGGAGAGGUUAGAGGUACUCCCAGGGUAGAGGUGAAAUUCUGUAAUCCUGGGAGGACCGCCUGUUGCGAAGGCGUCUAACUGGAACGGUUCUGACGGUGAGGGACGAAAGUUAGGGGCGCGAACCGGAUUAGAUACCCGGGUAGUCCCUGAGCGGGCUGGCAAGG